CCUACGGGGGGCUGCAGUGGGGAAUAUUGGACAAUGGGGGGAACCCUGAUCCAGCCAUGCCGCGUGUGUGAAGAAGGCCCUCAGGUUGUAAAGCACUUUCAGUGAGGAAGAACGCCUGGUGGUUAAUACCCAUCAGGAAAGACAUCACUCACAGAAGAAGCACCGGCUAACUCCGUGCCAGCAGCCGCGGUAAUACGGAGGGUGCGAGCGUUAAUCGGAAUUACUGGGCGUAAAGCGCGCGUAGGUGGCUUGAUAAGCCGGUUGUGAAAGCCCCGGGCUCAACCUGGGAACGGCAUCCGGAACUGUCAAGCUAGAGUGCAGGAGAGGAAGGUAGAAUUCCCGGUGUAGCGGUGAAAUGCGUAGAGAUCGGGAGGAAUACCAGUGGCGAAGGCGGCCUUCUGGACUGACACUGACACUGAGGUGCGAAAGCGUGGGUAGCAAACAGGAUUAGAUACCCUGUAGUC
rnacentral:rRNA from 1 species